rnacentral:rRNA from 1 species
AACGAACGCUGGCGGCGUGCUUAACACAUGCAAGUCGAACGCGAAAGGGGCUUCGGUCCUGAGUAGAGUGGCGCACGGGUGAGUAACGCGUAGAUAACCUGCCCUGGUGUCUGGAAUAACGUCUCGAAAGGGGCACUAAUACCGGAUAUUCUUGCUUUCUUCAAGGUAUGCAAGGAAAGGUGGCCUCUGGAACAAGCUACUGCACGAGGAGGGGUCUGGGUACCAUUAGCUAGUAGGUGGGGUAAUGGCCUACCUAGGCGACGAUGGUUAGCGGGUCUGAGAGGAUGAUCCGCCACACUGGCACUGGAAUACGGGCCAGACUCCUACGGGAGGCAGCAGUGAGGAAUAUUGCGCAAUGGGGGCAACCCUGACGCAGCGACGCCGCGUGAGUGAGGAAGGCCUUCGGGUCGUAAAGCUCUGUCAAGAGGGAAGAAGUGCAUGGUGGUUAAUAUCUGUCAUGUUUGACGGUACCUCUAAAGGAAGCACCGGCUAACUCCGUGCCAGCAGCCGCCGUAACAC